GCAGAUAUAAUUUAGUGGUAGAAUGUAACCUUCCCAAGGUUAAUAUGCGGGUUCGAUUCCCGUUAUCUGCU
rnacentral:tRNA from 1 species